GGCAUGUAGGCGAUUCCUUUUUCCUGGUCUCUGUGAACUAUGUGAGGCACGAUGUUUAUUUUUCUUUGAAUUAGGAAGAUUGUUGUGACUGACGAGCGAGAAAUGUUUAAACUGUGUAGCGUUAAUUAAAGCAUUUGUAGAAAGUAGCUUAUUCUAGUGGUCCAAACCGUCACAUAUUUCCGUUAUUCGUAAUAUCUUCCAAACUACUAAAACAAUUGCACAGCAUACCAACUUCAAUUUCGUUGAAGAUAGGGGUCGGAACCGAUAAUUGGAAAUUUUUAUUAUUUUCAACGACAGCUGGGGUAAGCUACUGUCCCAAGUUGGUCAUGAACAGCCAGAAACUGACAAACCUCAAAGUGUGGGGAAAGAGCCAGAAACAACUGUCACUUUAACGAGACGUAGUUUCGCUCCAAAGGCGAAACUUUGUUGUCUGUUGGCUUGAAGCCACCGUGUUAUUCGGAGACGUGAUACCCUCUCCAUCAGUUUCGCUGCGCAUGAGGUCAUAGAUACACAACAGCGCCGACUUUUGGGCUAGCCGGUUAUGCAUAGCAGAUCACGGUCAAGGGCGCACAAACAAGGACAGAGUCAGGUGUAGAGGCCACAAGAUAUACCGGUCGAUGUGAUGUCAGGUCUGUCCCGUCUUUACCAGGCUUCAGCACCGCACAACCCCACGCCAGCUUCUAUGAGGAAGGUGUCUAUCCUGUCUCCGAGCCGUAGUUGGAGUACGCUAGAAGUCUGCUUCUCAAAUCUUCGGGCAAACUGGCAGUCACUUUGUUGGUAAUGCCAUCAGGUCCAAGUCUGCUUGCAACGUUCACGGAGAGAGCCAUGGCCGGCUGCCGUUCUCUUAGCGUCCACGGCCGAUCGAGUAGGAGGCGGAAGGGAGAAAGGCAUCUUCCGAUCACUGCUUCGUCGUCAUGCGUGGUCCGCAUGUCGGAGUAUCCCAAGUUUAUGCUGAACGUGUCGUUUCCCGCGCUCCUGCAGGAUAGGUGGUGAUACGUGUAAGCCGAUUGGUCAUACAUGUGCUGCCCUCCCCGGUGGCCUCCACAAGGCAGAGGAGCUCGAGCGGAGGAAGAGCGCCGCACACAGCGUGUCGGACGCCACCGGAGCGCUUCAGCACGAGCCUCUCGAAGAGCUGAAUCGGUUGGCUGUCCUGUGGAAGUCCGACCACCAGCCUUCGACCACGAAGACGAGCCUGAAAGAGCCAAAACAAAAGCUACUCAGACUGGUGUUCUGUCGAUUAAAAUCAACGAAAGAAAAGCA